ACGGGAAGAGCCCAAACCAACAAGCUUGCUUGUUGGGGUUGUAGGACACUCUGUACGGAGUUACAAAGGACGACAUUAGACGAAUCAUCUGGAAAGAUGAAUCAAAGAAGGUAAUAAUCCUGUAGUCGAAAAUGUUGUCUCUCUUGAGUGGAUCCUGAGUACGACGGAGCACGUGAAAUUCCGUCGGAAUCUGGGAGGACCAUCUCCUAAGGCUAAAUACUCUCUAGUGACCGAUAGUGAACCAGUACCGUGAGGGAAAGGUGAAAAGCACCCCGGAAGGGGAGUGAAAUAGAACCUGAAACCGUGUGCUUACAAGUAGUCAGAGCCCGUUAAUGGGUGAUGGCGUGCCUUUUGUAGAAUGAACCGGCGAGUUACGAUUUGAUGCAAGGUUAAGCAGUAAAUGUGGAGCCGUAGCGAAAGCGAGUCUGAAUAGGGCGUUUAGUAUUUGGUCGUAGACCCGAAACCAGGUGAUCUACCCUUGGUCAGGUUGAAGUUCAGGUAACACUGAAUGGAGGACCGAACCGACUUACGUUGAAAAGUGAGCGGAUGAACUGAGGGUAGCGGAGAAAUUCCAAUCGAACCUGGAGAUAGCUGGUUCUCUCCGAAAUAGCUUUAGGGCUAGCCUCAAGUGAUGAUUAUUGGAGGUAGAGCACUGUUUGGACGAGGGGCCCCUCUCGGGUUACCGAAUUCAGACAAACUCCGAAUGCCAAUUAAUUUAACUUGGGAGUCAGAACAUGGGUGAUAAGGUCCGUGUUCGAAAGGGAAACAGCCCAGACCACCAGCUAAGGUCCCAAAAUAUAUGUUAAGUGGAAAAGGAUGUGGCGUUGCCCAGACAACUAGGAUGUUGGCUUAGAAGCAGCCAUCAUUUAAAGAGUGCGUAAUAGCUCACUAGUCGAGUGACACUGCGCCGAAAAUGUACCGGGGCUAAACAUAUUACCGAAGCUGUGGAUUGUCCUUUGGACAAUGGUAGGAGAGCGUUCUAAGGGCGUUGAAGCAUGAUCGUAAGGACAUGUGGAGCGCUUAGAAGUGAGAAUGCCGGUGUGAGUAGCGAAAGACGGGUGAGAAUCCCGUCCACCGAUUGACUAAGGUUUCCAGAGGAAGGCUCGUCCGCUCUGGGUUAGUCGGGUCCUAAGCUGAGGCCGACAGGCGUAGGCGAUGGAUAACAGGUUGAUAUUCCUGUACCACCUAUAAUCGUUUUAAUCGAUGGGGGGACGCAGUAGGAUAGGCGAAGCGUGCGAUUGGAUUGCACGUCUAAGCAGUAAGGCUGAGUAUUAGGCAAAUCCGGUACUCGUUAAGGCUGAGC
rnacentral:rRNA from 1 species